rnacentral:rRNA from 1 species
UACGUAGGUGGCAAGCGUUGUUCGGAAUUAUUGGGCGUAAAGGGCGCGUAGGCGGUGCGGUAAGUCACCUGUGAAAACUCUGGGCUCAACUCAGAGCCUGCAGGCGAAACUGCCGUGCUUGAGUGUGGGAGAGGGGGGUGGAAUUCCCGGUGUAGCGGUGAAAUGCGUAGAUAUGGGGAGGAACACCUGUGGCGAAAGCGGCAUACUAGACCACAACUGACGCUGAGGCGCGAAAGCUAGGGGAGCAAACAGG